rnacentral:rRNA from 1 species
UACAGAGGUCUCAAGCGUUGUCCGGAAUCAUUGGGCGUAAAGCGCGUGUAGGCGGCCCGGUAAGUCCGCUGUGAAAGCCGAGGGCUCAACCCUCGGAUGCCGGUGGAUACUGUCGGGCUAGAGUACGGAAGAGGCGAGUGGAAUUCCUGGUGUAGCGGUGAAAUGCGUAGAUAUCAGGAGGAACACCGAUUGCGAAGGCAGCUCGCUGGGACGUUACUGACGCUGAGACGCGAAAGCGUGGGGAGCAAACAGG